rnacentral:rRNA from 1 species
GACGAACGCUGGCGGCGUGCUUAACACAUGCAAGUCGAACGGUGAAGCGCCUUCCUUUUUGGUGGGUGUGGAUGAGUGGCGAACGGGUGAGUAACACGUGAGUAACCUGCCCCCUUCUUCUGGAUAACCGCAUGAAAGUGUGGCUAAUACGGGAUAUUCUGGGUCUGUCGCAUGAUGGGUCUGGGAAAGAUAUUGUUUCGGUGGGGGAUGGGCUGGCGGCCUAUCAGCUUGUUGGUGGGGUGAUGGCCUACCAAGGCGGUGACGGGUAGCCGGCCUGAGAGGGUGGACGGUCACACUGGGACUGAGACACGGCCCAGACUCCUACGGGAGGCAGCAGUGGGGAAUAUUGCACAAUGGGCGCAAGCCUGAUGCAGCGACGCCGCGUGAGGGAUGGAGGCCUUCGGGUUGUGAACCUCUUUCGCCAGUGAAGCAGGCCUGCCUCGUUUGUGGGUGGGUUGACGGUAGCUGGAUAAGAAGCGCCGGCUAACUACGUG